GGGAGUAUAGUUCAGCGGUAGAACGCUCGACCGAUAAUCGAGAGGUCUCUGGUUCGAUCCCAGAUACUCCCACCA
rnacentral:tRNA from 2 species